UGGGAAAUCUGGGGUCAGAAGUAACCCAGAAACUCCGCUUCGCGAUUAAUUAUCCGUCUACCCCUUUUUGUAUGUCUAUGGAAACGUAUGAGUUGGACAAAGGCACAACCACCGAAGGAGGACGUGGCACAAGGAUAGAGCGGGCACCUCGCCGGCGGAGGCUACCGCCUUUCGGUUCCGCGGGGACGCGGUUGUGACUGAUCCCCCCGACCUCUCGGGAGAGGCAAUACAACCGAUUUGAAACAAGUCCCUUCGAGGCAAGGAGUGUUUGAAUCAGUGGGAGAAAAUUAAUAUUAGGAAGACUAACGUCAAGACUUGGAAAAAGGAGGAAUGAGGAGUGAACAAUCAAAAGAAGUUACAGUUACAUCCAGAGUAAAAGCAUGUAGGUAGUUUGCAAGAGGCUACAAAGAAUCCAGCAUGAUGGGGAUGCUUUUAUAAUGUUUUAUAGAGAGUUGUAUGAGUAAAGUCACCAUUGAAAUUCUUCUUGAAUUAAGACAAAGGAAACAAGGGGAAAGUUAUUUGGGGCAGACAAAACAUGAAAACUCAGUGUCUUCACUGAACAAGUUUGGCAAGUCAUUUCCUGAUCAGAUAGUUGCUUAUCUUGUCCCCAACUGACAUGGUUAUAGGGCUAGACUGAUAUUUAAAGCAAGAGGCAUCUCCUCAGCAUCUUUCUAAAUUACAUUUUAUUUUAAAAAUGUAAAAAAAUUAUUUUAAAAAUGGCAUCAUUCUGCUAAUGAAUUAAAUGCCACACUCCCCACACUCCUAUCUCCAAAUAUCUUUCAGGCAGAAGUGGCUUGGGACCAAAACAGACAAACUUCUAAUGGCUGAAUCAGAUCUGGCUUGUAGUAAAAUGGUGGUGUGAAUGACAAAGACCAGCAGUGAGCCUUUUGUAGAAUCAGAACCACCUGAGAUUGUUAUCAGCCACAUAAUUCUUUUGUUCCAAGUAACUCUCUUAGGUUCUUGCAUAGCCUACAGCAGAGGUGGGCAGCCUGUUAACCUUGGCCUAUUUUCCAAAGUCUUUGCAAGAGAUUGGUUUGAAGCUCCAGGAAAAGUGAUUUGUCUUUCCCUGGCAGCAGGACAGGAAGCAAGAAAGAAAUAGGUAAUCUGAGAGAGAGGGAGAGAGAGAGAAGCAGGGCAAGCGAGCACUAAACUUUUUAGGAUGGUUAAAACCAAAAGGGACUGAGGAGCUCCAAAGGGAUCCCUCCAAGCUGGGAGAAUGGGCAUCAACAUGGCAAAUGCAGUUCAAUAUAAGCAAGUGUAUAUAAUGGAAAAUCUUGGGAAUGCAAAAAAGCAGAUAGGGUUUUCUGCCAUAUGUAGUAGACUUGUGAUAAAAUUAAAAGAUUCUGAAAGCUGAUACUUCUGGAAAUACAAAGAACCUUUAAAAUUAACUUUCCUAUGAGUGCUAAGAAUAUGCUUUUGAAUAUUCUGCCAAAGACGUUUUCAAAGAAUAUGUCAGAGUUAUUUAAAUGCAUGACAACUGCAGCAAAAAUUACAAUUGCUUCCAAAUGGAAAACAGCAGAAUGUCCAACAAUUGAAGACUGGAAAAAUAAGAUGGCUGAGUAUGCACUGAUGCCAAAACUAACUAAUUAUGUAUUAGAAGACCGAUUGAAGAAUUUAAUGAGAAAUGGAAAUUUUAUUAUAUGCAGUUUAAUACAGAAAAAUGGAGCUCAUAAAAUAUUGUUGAUGAUUUAUACUUAAAUGCAAAUCUUAUGCAAUAAUUUAUAACUGACUUGAAGCAAUUGGAAAAUUUAUUGGUUUAGUAAACUAUAAUUUCUUUUUA